rnacentral:rRNA from 1 species
ACUCCUGCGGGAGGCAGCAGUGGGGAAUUUUGGACAAUGGGCGAAAGCCUGAUCCAGCCAUGCCGCGUGCAGGAUGAAGGCCUUCGGGUUGUAAACUGCUUUUGUACGGAACGAAACGGCCUUUUCUAAUAAAGAGGGCUAAUGACGGUACCGUAAGAAUAAGCACCGGCUAACUACGUGCCAGCAGCCGCGGUAAUACGUAGGGUGCAAGCGUUAAUCGGAAUUACUGGGCGUAAAGCGUGCGCAGGCGGUUAUGUAAGACAGUUGUGAAAUCCCCGGGCUCAACCUGGGAACUGCAUCUGUGACUGCAUAGCUAGAGUACGGUAGAGGGGGAUGGAAUUCCGCGUGUAGCAGUGAAAUGCGUAGAUAUGCGGAGGAACACCGAUGGCGAAGGCAAUCCCCUGGACCUGUACUGACGCUCAUGCACGAAAGCGUGAGGAGCAAACAGGAUUAGAUACCCCGGUAGUCCC